rnacentral:rRNA from 1 species
AUGAAGCUGGAUUCGCUAGUAAUCGCGCAUCAGCCAUGGCGCGGUGAAUACGUUCCCGGGCCUUGUACACACCGCCCGUCAAGCCAUGGAAGCCGGGAGUGCCUGAAGUGUGCAACCGCAAGGAGCGCCCUAAGGUAAAACUGGUGACUGGGGCUAAGUCGUAACAAGGUAUC